ACAACAUUAGAGCCGUCGGUCUACCGAGUAAUACAACCCGUUCGGUGGAAGAUCUUCCCUUUGCCGC
rnacentral:pre_miRNA from 1 species